rnacentral:misc_RNA from 1 species
GAUGAAGAACGUAGCGAAAUGCGAUACGUAGUGUGAAUUGCAGAAUUCAGUGAAUCAUCGAAUCUUUGAACGCACAUUGCACCUCUCGGUAUUCCGGGAGGUAUGCCUGUUCGAGCGUCAUUUGUACCCUCAAGCUCUGCUUGGUGUUGGGUGUUUGUUCCGCCUCUGUGUGUGAACUCGCCUCAAAACAAUUGGCAGCCGGCGUACUUGUUUCGGAGCGCAGCACAUUUUGCGAUCCAGAUCAACGUACAGCGGCAUCCAAGAAGCCUUGUUUAACGCUCUUGACCUCGGAUCAGGUAGGGAUACCCGCUGAACUUAAGCAUAUCAAUAAGCGGAGGA